UCGAGCUGUAUAUGGAGGCCGUGUCACAGCCAUGGGGAGUAGUCCCAAUAUUGCUUCUGCUGGACUUUCCCACACAGAUGUCCUUUCAUACACAGAUCAACAUGGUGGGCUGACUGGCUCAUCCCAUCAUCACCACCACCAGGUCCCCUCCAUGUUAAGGCAGGUAAGAGACAGCACAAUGUUAGAUCUUCAGGCCCAGCUGAAAGAACUGCAGAGAGAGAAUGACCUCCUCCGGAAAGAGCUAGACAUCAAGGACAGCAAAUUGGGAUCUUCCAUGAACAGUAUUAAGACUUUCUGGAGUCCUGAGCUUAAGAAGGAGAGAGUCUUGAGGAAAGAAGAGGCAGCGCGGAUGUCUGUCCUCAAGGAGCAGAUGAGGGUUUCCCAUGAAGAAAAUCAGCAGUUGCAACAGCUGUUCAGAUGUACCUCCUUCUGAAUAGAAGAAGAAAAUGUUGAUUUCUGUAAGAAUAAACACUUUAACGCAACAUUUAGUGGCCACAUUUGACUGGUGAAUUGAUUUUUAUUUUGAAACACCAGCACCAUUAUUUCCUUCUAGAACGAGUGAAGUUGUUCUCUAAGUAGCAAAUUGAACAAUAUGAAAUGGAAUUGGAUCAGAUGGGUUUGUUAUGUUAGAGAUACACAAUAAAUUUUAACUUGG
rnacentral:sRNA from 1 species